AGGAAGGUGGCCGGUUGUCUGGAGCCGAAGAUGGCGCCGCCUCCAGGAAUGGAUUUCUAAGAGGCCUGCGAACUUUAUGUUGCUGCCUGCACCAAAGCAGUGCACCCUGACCAACAACAGAGGCCUGCCUGGCUGUGUUUCAAAAGAGCCAUGGAGGUAGCCAUGGUACCAUGUUGGUUCACGUUGGCUGGUGAUUCCACAGUUUUGCCAGCCAAGCAAAGUACUCCAUAGAUCUCAGUAAUUCUGGAAACAAGGUACCAUGACAUGCAUGCAGGUCAUCAUCAGGAAACCAGACAUCAGAGGAACUUCCAGGCAUGUAGAGAUCAUCAGCUGCCUGUCUCCAGAUGUACCCAUGAAACAUUAGAAGAACAAGUGGACACUGGAAGCACAGUAGGACCCCAGAGUGUCUGAUCUGAUCUACUUGUGUUUGUGUCCAAGAUGACUGGUGCUUACCAGUUUGGAGCCAGAAACAGAGCAAGGAGAGUGCAGGGAAUGUCCGUCUUGUACUCAUAAGCAAGGUAGAGUGGACAUGAACAGGUGAGUCCAUUGCUCAUGGUGCAGCUCAUAAAACCAUCCUGGCUUGCUAGACAGCUUGCUUCUAAUCCACCAUUACUCAGAUACCCUCACAACUCACCCUAUUUGGACAGACAGGGACACACAAACACACACACGGACACACAAACACACACAGUGAGAGAGAAAGAGAGAGAGAGAGAGAGAGAGAGAGAGAGAGAGAGAGAGAGAGAGAGAGAGAGAGAGAGAGAGAGAGAGAGAGAGAAGAGAGCAUUCUUUUGGCAUUCUUGCUGCUAUUGAAAUUGGUUGAAAUGGAGAGAAUCUGUAUUCCAAACAAAGUAUUGUCAUAUUU
rnacentral:lncRNA from 1 species